rnacentral:lncRNA from 1 species
CAUGAGACUAGCAAGGGAUGGACAUUCUGAAGAAGAAGAGAUGAGGUGAGUUUCUGAAGUUCACCGUCCAAUCCAAGUAUUAAAGGUGAGCAUUACUAUUCAAAGGGACAUAAUUAACCUGUUAAAUUAUUCUUAGAGCAAGGAACCAGUUAUUAUCUAACCGAAUAACUGUAAACUAGCUUCUUUUUCUAAAAUGAGGUGUCGUCUUUAAAUAGAUAUGGACCGGAGAGGGGGCUUGAGAAAUGCUAAUUAGGCUAGAGGCGUAUGAUUUUUUUUUCUCCCGUUGCAAUGCACGGGCAUGUUUGCUAUAAUAAUAAAGCAUCCAGUGGAGGGGUUUAGAAAAAUAGAAACGGUUCUAUUUGAUAUGUAAUUUAGAAAUUAAUGGCUGGAGGAUCCUAAACUAACAUAUGGCAUUUUGUUUCAAUUUCUCUUUACCUGAUUGUGUUACUUAUGCACAAUCACCAUACUUGACAUAGGUCCUGCACUUCCGUUGACGAGUAUUUUGUCAGCAUCUCGAUGCGGAGGUACAACUUUAGCUGAUCUUCGUCAUGUUUUACAUUGUUUCUCAGUACUUUUUACUGCAAUGUGGAGGUCAGAUUCUAGCUGAUAUAUCUUCAUGCUUUACCUUGUUUACCAAUGUCCCAAUGUGGACGUAAAGAUUCUAGCUGAUAUAUCUUCAUGUUUUACCUUGUUUACCAAUGUCCCAAAAUUUUGUUUCGUUUUUGCUUUGAAUUAAUUUUCCUUACUUUGACUGAGUAGGACAUUUAUUUGAAAUACUAAAUUGUGGUGUCGCUACCUCUAAGGACCACAGCGUUGUAGCGCCCUUGGCACAAGGUGACCAUCUUCAGCGCAUCGUGGUGUCGCUGCCCACACGAUCUCUACAGACACCACAAAAGGCUACAGGACCGACAAGGCCGGUGGCCUGACCACUGAAUCACGUUGUUGUGCGGGCGCCUUGAUCUCGCAUGCGGCCGUCUAAAGCCCCAGGGGCCAACCUCGCUCGAGCGUCGCCGACAGGCUCUCUUUUGCACAGGAGAAAAUGGUUGGAUAUAUGUGCCUCCUCCGUCUCUUAUUCCCUGAAAUGUAAUUUGAUGACUCAUUGAUGUCACACUCGCUUAGGAUUAAACUGCACAGGUUAGAUUGACAUUUUGCCCUGUGUUUAAUUACUACAUGCACUGCACGCUGAUCCAUGUAUAUAUUGGCUCCCCUAUAUAUACCUCUAUUGGUGAAAAGUUUUGACUUCCGAGUUUUGUCAGACGUGAGUUGCAGCAAUUUUCAGUUACUUUUCUAUGCCUGUCAUUCAUCUCUGAACCGUUGUGAUGGAGAUUGUAAUACUGUGUUUAGAAUAUGUCAGUCCAUAUGCGAGAUCUUCUUUUCAACUUGGCAACCAU